CCUACGGGAGGCAGCAGUGGGGAAUAUUGGACAAUGGGGGGAACCCUGAUCCAGCGACGCCGCGUGAGUGAAGAAGUAUUUCGGUAUGUAAAGCUCUAUCAGCAGGGAAGAAAGAAAUGACGGUACCUGAUUAAGAAGCCCCGGCUAACUACGUGCCAGCAGCCGCGGUAAUACGUAGGGGGCAAGCGUUAUCCGGAUUUACUGGGUGUAAAGGGAGCGUAGGCGGCGAUGCAAGUCAGAAGUGAAAGCCCGGGGCUCAACUCCGGGACUGUUUUUGAAACUGUAUGGCUAGAUUGCAGGAGAGGCAAGUGGAAUUCCUAGUGUAGCGGUGAAAUGCGUAGAUAUUAAGAGGAACACCAGUGGCGAAGGCGGCUUGCUGGACUGUAAAUGACGCUGAGGCUCGAAAGCGUGGGGAGCAAACAGGAUUAGAUACCCGGGUAGUC
rnacentral:rRNA from 1 species